CGGAGUGUAGCGCAGCCCGGUAGCGUACUUGCAUGGGGUGCAAGGGGUCGCUGGUUCGAGUCCAGUCACUCCGAC
rnacentral:tRNA from 1 species